rnacentral:rRNA from 1 species
UACGUAGGGUGCAAGCGUUAAUCGGAAUUACUGGGCGUAAAGCGUGCGCAGGCGGUUAUGUAAGACAGAAUGUGAAAUCCCCGGGCUCAACCCUGGGAACUGCAUUUGUGACUGCAUAGCUAGAGUACGGUAGAGGGGGAUGGAAUUCCGCGUGUAGCAGUGAAAUGCGUAGAUAUGCGGAGGAACACCGAUGGCGAAGGCAAUCCCUGGACCUGUACUGACGCUCAUGCACGAAAGCGUGGGGAGCAAACAGGAUUAGAUAACCCCU